UGAAUCAUGUUGUCCUUCUUAAGCCCCGCUCCCCCAAGUCAAUGUUGAGCUUGUGUCAUGGUAUACGGCGUGUUUUAAAUACAACAUUAGGGACCUUUAGCUAGCAGGACGACGACGGCUAUUAAUACAAUGAAAUUUAUGACAGCGUAGAAAGAAAAUGCAUAAUUAAAGGUCCCAUGCAUGGGUUAGACACCUUACGAUUUUAGGACGGCAACCGCGACGGCAACGGCUACCAAUACAAUAGAUCAUUGAGAAGAAUUGAGUAAUUACAAUAAAUGAAUAAUUUAGACAUUGUCCUCGCUCUGCUUAAAACGCCAAAUCACAGAUUUUCACGUGUUGAUACAGCGACUGCAUUCCAAGCCACAACAAGUGCAACUUCAAACGGGGUUUAGCAGAACUCUUCCCAACCAUAAAACCCAUGUCUUCAACUUCUAAGACUGUAUUAAAUUCAUACGAUUGAUAAUAUACGACGAACUAUCGACUACCAUUUAUUUGAAGGAGUUUGUUUUGGCCGUCGCCGUCGCGGUUGCCGUUCUAAAAUCGUAAGGUCUCUGAUUACAACAGCAAACCAAAGAUUUUCACGUUUUGUACACAACGUCUGCCUUUCAAGCCGCGAGAAGUCGUCCUCGCCAAAUUGACUUAGUAGAAGUCUUCUCAACUAUAAACCUCUGUCUUAACCUUCUUAAAUUGCAAUAAAUUCAAACAACGGAUAAUACAAGACAUGUUGAUCUUAAAGUUACUUAUUCGAACGAGUUUAUUUUGGCCGUCGUCGUCGCGUUGCCGUCACC